rnacentral:rRNA from 1 species
UUCCGGUUGAUCCCGCCGGAGGUCAUUGCUAUUGGAGUCCGAUUUAGCCAUGCUAGUCGCACGAGUUCAGACUCGUGGCAGAUAGCUCAGUAACACGUGGCCAAACUACCCUGUUGAGAGCGAUAACCUCGGGAAACUGAGGCUAAUAGCUCAUACGGCUCGAUGCCUGGAACUGGCUCGAGCUCGAAAUGCUCAGGCGCGACAGGAUGUGGCUGCGGCCGAUUAGGUAGACGGUGGGGUAACGGCCCACCGUGCCGAUAAUCGGUACGGGUGGUGAGAGCCAGAGCCCGGAGAUGGAAUCUGAGACAAGAUUCCAGGCCCUACGGGGCGCAGCAGGCGCGAAACCUUUACACUGCACGAAAGUGCGAUAAGGGGACCCCGAGUGCGAGGGCAUACAGUCCUCGCUUUUGUGUACCGUAGGGAGGUACACGAAUAAGGGCUGGGCAAGACCGGUGCCAGCCGCCGCGGUAAUACCGGCAGCUCAAGUGAUGGCCGCUGUUAUUGGGCCUAAAGCGUCCGUAGCCGGCCGCACAAGUCCGUCGGGAAAUCCACCCGCCUAACGGGUGGGCGUCCGGCGGAAACUGUGCGGCUUGGGACCGGAAGACUCGAGGGGUACGUCCGGGGUAGGAGUGAAAUCCUGUAAUCCUGGACGGACCGCCGGUGGCGAAAGCGCCUCGAGAGGACGGAUCCGACGGUGAGGGACGAAAGCUAGGGUCUCGAACCGGAUUAGAUACCCGGGUAGUCCUAGCCGUAAACGAUGCUCGCUAGGUGUGGCGCAGGCUACGAGCCUGCGCUGUGCCGUAGGGAAGCCGUGAAGCGAGCCGCCUGGGAAGUACGUCCGCAAGGAUGAAACUUAAAGGAAUUGGCGGGGGAGCACUACAACCGGAGGAGCCUGCGGUUUAAUUGGAUUCAACGCCGGG